GCUUUUGUUUCAAACUCUAGGGAAAUUGAGUGUCAAGGCUAGGAGACGAUGCUGAGUGGUUUCUCUGUAGAAGCAAUAAGUGUUUGACUGACUGGGUGUCGUUUUGUCUGUUUGUGUUGUCGUUUUGGUUAUUUGCUUGUGGAAAGGUCACUUCUUUUUGGCAAGUAAAGGAAAAAGCACCAACUGUAGUGAUUAUUUUCCAAUCAAUGAGUAAAAAACACAUUGAAGCAAACAAAGCAUUUAUGUCCUUUGGUUACUUCUUUCCGCUUUCAUCCUCAUGUGUUUUGUUUUCAUGGCACUCAUAAAAAAACCCUAUUUCCAGGAAGAUAAAAUAGAGUUGACCAAAGGCCAUGUGCUAGAGUUCUAUAGAGUUUCACAAGUUCGAGGAGAUCCGCCAUCAAUGGCAUCAAAGCCUUUAUUACAUUCAAGACUUUAUAACAAGUUCACAUCAUCCGGAUAAGGAUCACACUUUGUUUUAGCAAUAAUGGGAUUGAAACACCAAACUUGCAAAAGCUCUUCAUCUUCCAACUUCAUGCCUAUUAGAUUCUCAACCAUUCUCACUUUGAUUCUACUCUCUACUUCCUUUUUCCUCUUCCUUUCAUCACUCAAGAACACCCAAGAACCAUUUUUUGGGGGUGAUGAGAACACUCAAUUCAAUGGUGAUCUUAGAGAUGCUAAAUUCCCAUGGAACAAACUCUGUUUCGGUCCUUCUUUCGAAAAGCUCAAGCUAGCCGUCUUCUCCAAAACAUGGCCAGUUGGUGCAGACGCGGGUGGUAUGGAGCGCCAUGCUUCCACAUUGUACCAAGCACUUGCUGCAAAGGGUCAUGAGAUUCAUGUCUUCACUGUGCCUUCAGAUAGGAGGCCUCAUUGGGACAUACAUGAAGGUAACCUUCAUGUUUAUUUUGCAGCUAAUGAUCAUGGCUCUGUUAAUUGUUCUCUAGCGUUUGAAAUUUUCAAUAAAGUUAAGUCGGAUGGGGCAUUCGAUUAUGUGCACACCGAGAGUGUUUCGUUGCCUUAUUGGCGUGCCAAGAUGCUGCCUAAUGUGGCUGUCACUUGGCAUGGGAUAUGGUACGAAAUAAUGCAUUCCAAGUUACUGCAACAACUCCUCACCGACCCAAAUGGGGACAUGCUAGAGCCCAUGACAGAGCUUCAAGAAGCAAUGCCAAGGCUCGUUGAGGAGAUUCGGUUCUUUAAGAGCUAUACGCAGCAUAUAUGCAUAAGCAAUAGUGCUGGUGAGGUUCUGGUCAACAUCUAUCAGAUCCCACAGAGAAAUGUGCAUGUUAUACUUAAUGGCGUUGAUGAGAAAGAAUUUGUGCCAGACCAAGAAGCGGGUGCAAGGUUCCGACAAAAACAUGGUGUACCUGCCAAUGUGAGCCUUGUGAUGGGAGUGGCAGGGCGGCUGGUUAGGGACAAAGGGCAUCCACUUCUUUACAAAGCCUUUUCUUCAAUUGUGAAGCGCUACCCCGGCGUGUUUUUGCUUGUGGCAGGGUCAGGUCCUUGGAGAAGAAGGUAUGCUGAAUUAGGCCCAAAUGUGAAGGUUCUAGGACCAUUGGAGCCAUUGGAGCUGUCUAAGUUUUACAAUGCUCUUGAUCUGUUUGUGAACCCCACAUUGAGGCCUCAAGGGCUUGAUCUAACAUUGAUUGAAGCAAUGCAAAGUGGGAAGACAGUUCUAACUCCAAACUAUCCAAGCAUUGUCAGGACAGUGGUGGUGGGUGAAGAAUUUGGAUAUACUUUUUCACCCAAUGUCAAGUCUUUUGUUGAGGCUUUGGAGUCAGCUAUAAAAGAUGGGUCUAAUAUGCUGAAGAAGAAAGGGGUGGCUUGCAAAAACUAUGUGCAUUCGAUGUUCACUGCAACCAAGAUGGCAUCGGCUUAUGAGCGGUUCUUUCUGUGCAUGAAGAACCCAAAAUACUGCAGUACAUUGCCGAGCCUCAACUAUAGAGCAAAACAAUGCAGUCUAUAUUGAAAAUAAUCAGACGAAAACAGCAAGAACAGAUGGCAGGUCCUAGAUUUCUAGACGUCAGAAUCAAGAUCUGAGAUUCUGAGCAAUACAACAAUUGUCCAAGUUAGCACAGAACUUGACAGAGACACCCAUGAAAGUGUGCUAAUGGUGUUGAGGAUCUGGUCCUCCAGGUGCAUUUCUCUGUAUUAAUUUCUCUUGUUAAACGUAACACUUGAUGCAUUUUACAUAAGUAGAGUGGC